UGAGCAUUUAAACAAUUUGAACUUGGAUGUCGAUGGAUCUAUGUCAACCUCUAUAGGUAGAAACUUUAUUUUUGAAAAUGCAUAUGAAGAUGUCAUUAGUCAGAUGAAGGAUUUAUCUGUUGAAGCUGGUGGGAAGGGCACUUCCAAGAAAAAACUCAUUAGUCAACGCAACCUUUUCUAUGAUAUCAUGGAAUGCAUUGAGUGGAUGAUACUGUUGGUCUUGAAGGUACUAAAAAGGUAGCUGUUCUUGUUGAAUAUGUCUCACCUUCUUCCAAUGCUCAGCCUGCAACUACAUAAGAUAGUGCCUUUGUUCCUACUUCACUUCACAUGUAUUCUACAAGAAAAGAGAUUCAUACUUCUAUACCGCAUGGGCAUUUUUACUCCAUUUGUACUCAUAAUUGUUCUAAGAGCACUCCACAAGAACAUUUUUUGUGCAGGUGACUGCAACAUACCCAUUAAUGCAACUCUCGUCUACGACAAUCUUUUCAUUGGAAUUUACAAGUGAAGAUCCAAAAAGAUGGAGAGAUUUUAUGGCAUUGGGGAAGAUGAGAAGGCCA